UCCUCCGUAGCUCAACGGUAGAGCAUUCGGCUGUUAACCGAAGUGUUGUAGGUUCAAAUCCUACCGGAGGAG
rnacentral:tRNA from 1 species